rnacentral:rRNA from 1 species
UACGUAGGGACCGAGCGUUGUCCGGAAUCAUUGGGCGUAAAGGGCGCGUAGGCGGUCACGCACGUCCGUUGUGAAAUCGCUCGGCUCAACUGGGCGGGGUCAGCGGAUACGGCGUGGCUGGAGCAAGCUAGGGGGCAAUGGAAUUCCCGGUGUAGUGGUGGAAUGCGUAGAUAUCGGGAGGAACACCAGUGGCGAAGGCGGUUGCCUGGAGCUUUGCUGACGCUGAUGCGCGAAAGCGUGGGGAGCGAUCCGG